rnacentral:lncRNA from 12 species
AUGUUGCCCCUCGUAUUCAUUAUAUUUUCUCUCCUAAAAGAGACUGCUGGUGAAGAUGUCAUAAAACCAGUCUCCACACAGAAGCAGGUUUUGGAAGGAAAAGAUGUUACACUGAUCUGCAACUACACCGAAGCUGUUCAAAAUUUACAAUGGUAUCGUCAGUAUCCCGGAUCCAAACCUGAGCACCUCAUCACGUUCUUUGAGACCACACAGAGCACGACAGAGGACGCUCUCCGUCUGACCGCUGCGGCUGAUAAAGCAGCUAAAAGUAUGACUCUGACGAUCUCUUCUACAGAAGUGAAAGACUCUGCCAUGUACUACUGUGCCCUGGUGCCCACAGUGACAGGAAACACAACUACACUGUACAAAAACAGAGUGAGAAAGGAUAUUUAAGACAGAAGACGAUGCACAAUGCAGAUUUUAAAACUACACUCUUUAUAAAGUAGACAAUCAAUUGUUACCUUUCGGAAUAGUUUCUAAACCCAUGUACAGUACAACUGGUAGUGUCCUCACCAUUAAUAUUAUCAGACCACUUCUUAAUACAGAUAUGAAAAGCAACAUAAAUGUUUGAAACAUUUAAUAUCUGUACAGUGCCAUUGCAAUGUUUGUGUAAUAUCAGCUUAUUUAUAUACUGUCUGCACUUGUAGGAUAAAAUGAGUGAAGGUACUGUAUGUGUGGGAGGAGCUUAGGAUUUUGUCAACUUUAGUGGAAGAAAUCAAAAAGACAACACUGACUUUCUUUCAUACAGAUCCUGAUAGAAGUCUUAACUCAAAAGAAACAGAAGCAUGUUACUCAUCUCAUCCGUUUUCAUUUUAAUCCUCAGUUACUGUGAGUACUGUUAGUCAUACAAUGUCUUCACACAUAUUUUGCACCAUUUUCCAAAACAUAACUAAAAAUAAAAAUAUCACAAACAUGUAUUUAAUACUCUAAAUGUAAUCAUUACAGUCCUUGAUUAUCUGUUAUAUUUGCAGGUGAAUCUAAUGGAAAUGUCAUCAGACCAAACCAGCCGUCUGUAGUUUUAACUGAAGGAAGCAGCACCACUCUGUCCUGUUCAUAUGAUGGAUCAGCUUACAGUCUUCACUGGUAUCGACAGAAGCCUGGAUCAAAACCAGAGUUUCUGCUGCUGAUUGCUGAGUCUUCCAAGUAUGUCACCAAAGCUGACCAACCUCAUCCACAUAUGUCCAUCAGACUCCAUGAUAAUAAAAGUGUGGAUCUGGAGAUCUCCUCUGCUGCUGUAUCAGACUCUGCAGUGUAUUACUGUGCUCUGGAGCCCACAGUGACAGGAAACCCCUCUACACUGUACAAAAACCUUCUUGUUAUCUGCCUGAUGAACAGUCAUAUUUCUCUACCAUGAUCUCUGUGAUAUUCCAUUUUGCUGAUGAUCUGAAUAUGGCAUUUAAAUGUACAUUUUCAAAUUGUAAUUCAUUUUGGUCUAUUUAGCAAGGACGUCCCUCAAAGAGAGAGAGAGAGAGAGAGAGAGAGAGAGAGAGAGAGAGAGAGAGAGAGAGAGAGAGAGAACUUUAUUUAGGACUAUAAUCAUAAUCAAUACAAAAAUGGAAUAUAAAAUACCAAGACAAACAAUCACCACUCAAGAUAAAAGAAAUUCAAUCUGUUCCUUGAAAUAAAGCUUGACAUUUCUCUCUGACAAAUUACUAAAAUGAUCAAAUAAAUAACUACAGUACAUAUGUAUUUAAAAUAUUUUAUCUUGCCACAGAAAGGUUACUGGGUUUCUAUAUACAAGAGAUUUCCAGGGCCUUUAUUACCCACAGAAUUAUUUUAGAUUCACAGUUAAGACCACACAUACAGUAUUGAAUUCCUUUGAAGGUCACUAAAGUACAGUUGAUAGCUGAUAUGUUGCUGUACAAUAACUUUUGGUUGUUUCAGUUACAUCCAAAAAAGAAUGACAUUAUACAGGUACUUAACCACACACUUUUUUAAAAUUAAUAUUAAAUCAGACCAGAGAGCCUCAGUUAAGCACGGCUAUUACCAGAAGGUGGAGCUCACAUUUAAGUUAUUUCAAAACUGAACACAUGCAAACUGAGUCAGAGGAAACUGUAAGUCUUGAUUCUUCAGAACUUUGUCUCGUUGAUAAUGUUGCUCCUUAUCCUCAUGAUAUUUUCCCUUUUUAAAGGUGAGUAAUGCAUAAGAAUAAUUUCCAGAUUAUUGAUUUUGUGUUAAUGUGUUAAUAAACCAACUAUUUAUACAUGCUCUUAAUUAGUCCAUUAAUUUUAAUGUUCUUUAAUUGAUUGAUUGAUAUUUUUUAAACAGGUAAUGUUGAUGCUGAAGUGAUAACUUCAUUCUUCACAAAGCAGCAUUACAGUGGUAAUGUUUGCAGUCUGCAGUGGUACCGUCAGCAUCCCGGAAAUAUAAAUUUUCACACUGAGAGCAGCAGUCAGUCAGAGCCCAAGGUUUAUCUGUAUGCUGUGGCUGAUAAAGGAAGCAAACUUAUAAAUCUGAGCAUAUCUUUUACACAAAUGGAUGGUUCUGCUCUGUACUAUUGUGCUCUGCAGCCCACAGUGACGGGAAACACAACUGCACUGUACAAAAACAGAUGGUCAGGACACACACUGUAAUUACCAAACAUUACUAACAUGUACAAUAAGGAAAAAUCAAAUAAAAAAUAAACGAGAGCUGGUAACUGCACAUCAACCAGUGUAAAGAUCUUUGAAACAUUUGGUUACAGUAGUUUAACACUGUAUAUUUUCCACAUAGCUUAUUGUCCAAAAGAAACAUUUUAUUUUUUUGUGAAAUCAUUAUAUAUGAUUAAACAGCAGCCAUACUUUAUUUAAAAAUCUGCAUUUCAAUUAGAGAGUAAGCUAAAAUGUAUUCACAUACAGUCAGUAUUUGUAGGGGAAGAUGAAAAAGUAGGUUUGUAUAUUUUUCAUAUUAUUAAGCUUCCCCUCAUGCAGUGUCUCAUUAUUUUUCAACUUUCAAUUCAUUAUAAGGUGGUCUUUCUCCAAGAAUUAUUGUACCAUUUAAAUUUACAAUACACCAAGUUAACCAGUACACCAUAGUAACUCACAUGCAGGAAAACAUUCCUUUAUGCAAAACAAGAAUAAUAAAAAUAAAAAAAAACAGCAUCUAAGCAUGAAAUUUAAUCAGUAUUAAUUAUACAAAAAUCAAUAAAACAAAACAAAGCUCAGUAACACAUUAGUUUAGGGACCAAUUCUCAUCAUUAACUAGUUGCUAAUUAGCAUGCACACUGCUAGCAUAUUGGCUGUUUAAUAGUUCUUACAAAGCACAUAUUCUACAUAACCAUAUUCUGUAUCCUCGUACCCAAUACCUAAACUUACUUACCUUCCUACCAAUUAAAAAGCAUUAAUUAGGAGUUCAUUGAGGCAAAAGUCAUACUUAAUACAUUUAAUAGUAAGAAUAAAGUGUGACCAAAAGCUCCUUUUAUGUCUAUAAACAGGACAAAUUCCUGCAGAUGAAACUAUGAUUACUUUGCUAUGUGAUUUUGCACAAUAAACAUAAAUUGUGCAAUCAAUCAGAUCUCUCUAGACAGCAGGGCCAUGCACAGGGUGGUGGCCACUGCCCCUCUGCCCUCAUCGGCUGAGGUGGCCCUUUGCUGACAAAUUUUGUGUUAUUUAUAUUAGAUCUAAUCAGGUACAAACAAAAAAAAACAAAGCCUUCACAAAAAUGAAGGCAAAAUCUGAGAGAGAAAGAGCGAGGGGAGGCUGCUAAAGGCAGUUAAACAUUGCAAACAUGGAUUAAAAGCUCCACUAAGCCAGAAGGUAAAUCAUCAUAUUGAAUAUUUAGCAGUUUUUCACACUUUAAUUCUUGUAAUUAAGUAUAUUUCCCAUUACAAUCACAUACUUCCAAUGAAGAUGUAGCAGAAGCAGGCUCAGACAGUGAGGGAGAGCCCACUCUAUCAAAACACCUAUAAUAAAGUCUGAAAUUAUUACAGAGUGUGCUGUCUUCUCUUACAAUUCAAUUCAAUAAUUCAAGGCAUUGAUGUUUGCCUAAAAAAACACCACUGGCUCUGCACCCCUUUACCUAAAUUCAUUACUUCAGACUUUUGUGCCUUCUAGAAGCUUGCGUUCUGCAAGUUAACGGUGCAUUAUUGUGCCAUCCCAAAGAGUCACAAAAUCACUUUCACAGACUUUUACGUUAAUGUUCCCUUCUGGUGGAAUGUGGUGCCCAACUCAGUCUGAGCAGCUGAGUCCUCAGCCAUCUUCAAGAAUCGGCUAAAAACACAUCUCUUCCAUCUUUAUUUGACCCUCUAACUCUAGCAAUCUCUCUUCUAAUUCUGUUCUUAUAUAAAAAAAAUAAAAUAAUAAAAACUUGCCCCUUUUAGACUUGCACUGUAUUAAUUUACUAACUACUUGUUUUCUUUAAAAAAAAAAAAAAAAACUAACACUAGCUUCUUUUUGUGUUCUGUUUUCUAUUUAUUAUACAAUUAACAGAAUCAAAAAGGCCUCUAGCUUGCUCUAUUCUUUUUCUAUUCUAUCUGUUUUCUUUUUAUUUAUUAUAUAAUAAUAAUAAAAAAAAAAUGCUAUGUGUACUGCGUUAAGCUACCUGAGACUUGUCAUAUCACUUGCAUAUCAUUGCUCUGUUGUUGAUUUUGAUUGCUUCCAUUGUCCUCAUUUGUAAGUCGCUUUGGAUAAAAGCAUCUGCUAAAUGACUAAAUGUAAAUGUAAUGUAAAUAAUUGACAACUACAAAAUUUGUAUUAACAAGCACCCACCCCCUUAGUGUGCCCCUUUUUUUGGUUUGGGCCACUGCCCCUCAAAAUCUCUAUGCACGGCCCUGACGGACAGUGACAAUCUUUAUAACAUACUUCUUUAAUUUAUCACUUUAGUCCUAUUGUAUAACUUACUGUAUAAUUUACUAAGCCAAAAAUUAUUUGGUAAGCUCUUAUUUUUUGUUUGAAAUACAGUACAUCCCAUAAAAAUGCUAAGAUAUUGUAGCAAAAGUGAUCUUACAUGCAUUCUGCCAGAAGGUGGAGCUCCAGGAACCAUUCUAGUUCAGUCUCAGUUCAGUUGUUUAAAAACAGAGUAGACAUACAUUGUCAUUAAUACUCUAGGAGAGAACUGUAAGUCUUGAACCUC